GAAUAUUGGACAAUGGGCGAAAGCCUGAUCCAGCCAUGCCGCGUGAGUGAUGAAGGCCUUAGGGUUGUAAAGCUCUUUCAGUGGGGAAGAUAAUGACGGUACCCACAGAAGAAGCCCCGGCUAACUUCGUGCCAGCAGCCGCGGUAAUACGAAGGGGGCUAGCGUUGUUCGGAUUUACUGGGCGUAAAGCGCACGUAGGCGGAUUGUUAAGUCAGGGGUGAAAUCCCGGAGCUCAACUCCGGAACUGCCUUUGAUACUGGCAAUCUAGAGUCCGGAAGAGGUGAGUGGAACUCCUAGUGUAGAGGUGGAAUUCGUAGAUAUUAGGAAGAACACCAGUGGCGAAGGCGGCUCACUGGUCCGGUACUGACGCUGAGGUGCGAAAGCGUGGGGAGCAAACAGG
rnacentral:rRNA from 1 species